UUCAGCUUCCGGGUUUGUUCUUAUUUCUACGCGACUGGGACAUGUUUGAAAAUGACACGUUCCAUGUACCCACGGUAUGGGACCCAUACAUCACAUGGCUCUACCAAUAUGAGAAUCAAAGCAAACAGAGAAAGGAUGACCCACAUGUAUUGUAUUGUAGGACCAUGUUCUCUCCUAUCUCAAAGGACAAGUUUUUCUUCUCUGCUGC
rnacentral:lncRNA from 1 species